rnacentral:rRNA from 1 species
GAGUUUGAUCCUGGCUCAGGGUUAACGCUGGCGGUGCGCAUAACACAUGCAAGUCGAGCGAGGGCUUAUUUCUCGCAAGAGAGAUGAGUUCCUAGCGGCGAACGGGUGAGUAACACGUGGGCAACCUUUCCUAUCGCGGGGGAUAACAGCGGGAAACCGCUGCUAAUACCGCAUGUCGUCACUGAUCGCAUGGUUGGUGAAGAAAGCAGCAAUGCACGAUGGGGUGGGCCCGCGGCCUAUCAGCUAGUCGGUGGGGUAACGGCCUACCGAGGCGAUGACGGGUAGCUGGUCUGAGAGGACGGCCAGCCACACGGGGACUGAGACACGGCCCCGACUCCUACGGGAGGCAGCAGUGAGGAAUCUUCCGCAAUGGGCGAAAGCCUGACGGAGCGACACCGCGUGUGGGAUGAAGUCUUUCGGGAUGUAAACCACUGUCGGAGGGGAAGAAAAAUGACGGUACCCUCCAAGAAAGCCCCGGCUAACUACGUGCCAGCCGCCGCCGUAAG